rnacentral:lncRNA from 1 species
CCCAUAUGGCCUUGUUUAGAACUUGCUUUGGGGUUUGAAAAACUGCAUUUAUACAUAAUUAGCUGGUGUAUUCCUGGUGUAGUGCUGUUAGAGGCAGCAACGUGGCACUAGGCAGGACCCAGCAGGCUGGCUUGUCAAGGCACUGGAGGCAAGAUAGUCUUGUUAGCACCAAGCUCUGUCUGGUUAGCCAUUUAAUGAACCAUAUUGUCCUAGGCAGACAUACCCUUUUGUCAGUAGGAUAAGGAACUAAGCUUAAUUUUGAAUAGUUUUUUUUAAGGUUUGAUAUUUUUACUGGAAAAAUACAAGUGUAAGCAGCCUUGCCUGAUGCUGCUUCUGUUUCCAUUGCUCAAAGAAUGCAACUGGCCUGUUUGCAAUUUCUGCUUCAGCUUAAAGCCAACAUGAACACAUUUUUGAGGAUUUAUGAUGCUGUGUUAAGCUAAGCCUUCUGACAUAAUCACGUAAUUAAAUAUCUAGUUCUUUCAUGGAGCUGUAAUUAAAUAUUGGGCCUCCCUGAGGAGCCAGAAGAGAAGGAAAACACGGAAGGGGAGUAAUUGCCAGUGAGUCACCCUGAGGGGGGAAAUCCAGGCCCUGAGUCUCAGCCCAGGGAUUUCUCACAGGGCUGGUGAGGGGGUGGGAAGACUCGGGGUGACGAGGUUAGGUCGGUGGCUGCGGGGUGAUGUGGGCCUCGGGGAGCCCAGGCAGGUGAUGGCUGGCUCACAGCCACGCAGUGCCAGAAUCCGAAAGAACAAGUGAAAAGUCCAUGCAGAUACUGAAAUCCUGUCCUCAUCAAGCACUUCAAAUAAUGAUCCAGGCAUAGCAUCUUUGUGUUGACCUCCUAAAGCAUUGGGAGCAGCAUUUGAGAAUGUUAUUCUACUUAACAGAUUUGAAAAUGAAUUAAAAGUUAAAUGCUUUAUAUUGAGAAAUAUCUAAGUACAUUUCAAAUUAGAGUAAGCAUCAUUAUUGUCC